rnacentral:rRNA from 1 species
GAGCGGGCGUAGCAAUACGUCAGCGGCAGACGGGAGAGUAACACGUGGGAACGUACCUUUUGGUUCGGAACAACACAGGGAAACUCGUGCUAAUACCGGAUAAGCCCUUACGGGGAAAGAUUUAUCGCCGAAAGAUCGGCCCGCGUCUGAUUAGCUAGUUGGUGGGGUAAUGGCCCACCAAGGUGACGAUCAGUAGCUGGUCUGAGAGGAUGAUCAGCCACAUUGGGACUGAGACACGGCCCAAACUCCUACGGGAGGCAGCAGUGGGGAAUAUUGGACAAUGGGCGCAAGCCUGAUCCAGCCAUGCCGCGUGAGUGAUGAAGGCCCUAGGGUUGUAAAGCUCUUUUGUGCGGGAAGAUAAUGACGGUACCGCAAGAAUAAGCCCCCGGCUAACUUCGUG